GCGGGUUUGGUUUAGUGGUAAAACAUCAGCUUCCCAAGCUGAAUAUACGGGUUCGAUUCCCGUAACCCGCU
rnacentral:tRNA from 1 species